UAUAAAUGUAGAUGUGGUUUUUUAUGUCCAACGUUUGAUCGUCCGUUUUAUUUGAAAAAUAUUGACGAUUAGUAUUUUUAUUGUUAUUAGAUGAUAAAACAUAAAUAGUACUUUAUGGUAACUAUUUUUUAAAAAAAUAUAUAAUUUUUUUAAAUAAAAUGGAUGGUCAAAUGUUGGUCACAGAAAAUCACAACUACACUUAUG
rfam:Oryza sativa Japonica Group DNA, chromosome 3, cultivar: Nipponbare, complete sequence.